UACGGAGGGAGCUAGCGUUGUUCGGAUAUACUGGGCGUAAAGCGCACGUAGGCGGCGCAGCAAGUCAGGGGUGAAAUCCCGGAGCUCAACUCCGGAACUGCCUUUGAAACUGCAGUGCUAGAAUCCUGGAGAGGCGAGUGGAAUUCCGAGUGUAGAGGUGAAAUUCGUAGAUAUUCGGAAGAACACCAGUGGCGAAGGCGACUCGCUGGACAGGUAUUGACGCUGAGGUGCGAAAGCGUGGGGAGCAAACAGGG
rnacentral:rRNA from 1 species